ensembl:lncRNA
GGAGGACAUACAAGUAGAGAGAUACUAUAGAGCAGAGAAACAGCAUCACCAUGAUCGCAAAGAUUUGUGUCAUCAUUAUUCUUUUUGUUGUCUACUGCAACGCACAGAGUGUACCUGUAAUUGCUUCAACAACAACCACAACUGCAGCAACAAACACCACAGCUGCUCCAACAACAACCACAACUGCAGCAACAAACACCACAGCUGCUCCAACAACGACCACAACUGCAGCAACAAACACCACAGCUGCUCCAACAACGACCACAACUGCAGCAACAAACACCACAGCUGCUCCAACAACGACCACAACUGCAGCAAAAAACACCACAGCUGCUCCAACAACGACCACAACUGCAGCAACAAACACCACAGCUGCUCCAACAACAACCACAACUGCAGCAACAAACACCACAGCUGCUCCAACAACGACCACAACUGCUCCAACAACAACCACAACUGCUGCUCCAACAACAACCACAACUGCAGCAACAAACACCACAGCUGCUCCAACAACAACCACAACUGCAGCAACAAACACCACAGCUGCUCCAACAACAACCACAACUGCUCCAACAACAACCACAACUGCUCCAACAACAACUACAACUGCAGCGACAACAACCACAACUGCAGCGACAACAACUACAACUGCAACAACAACAACCACCUCCUCUGCCAUCCUCAACAACAUCAGCUUCUUGUCAGUUUUCAUUGCUGUGAUGUCACAUAUACUCAGCUCAUACUGUUAACAUUUUUCUCUUCAGUUCACUUCCUGCAAAUAAUAUUAUUAAAACGGAAAAAUGUUUAUGAGAAUUUAUAAAAUGUUUGAAUAAGCAUGUAGGUCAUGCGCUUAGUGAAACGUGUUUAAUUGUUCUCAAGUUAUGUGAUUAUAAGGUUCAAAACUGAGCAUUUAAUCUAAUCCCCAUGCUGCUUUGUUGCCAUCUACUGAUAAAAUUGAGGAUUGUGCUUUGAGGCGUCCAUGCUUUGGACACAUGUUCAACUAAGGUGCCAGAGACUGAAGCCUCAAGCCAGUUAAGUUAGUUUGUGGAUAAGGAGGAAAAAAAUGCACAAUAUGUACUGCAAUUGCUUGUGAAUUGUAGAAAGGCGCACACUGUAUGUUUCUGUAGUUUGCUUGUGUGUACGGUUUAUUUGGGUUGUGGUUUUAUUUUGCUUACACAAUAUCUGUAUUUUCAUUGCAUAUUUCACCAUAGUUUUUCACAAUGUUUGCUGGUGAAGAGGAGAUUAAAAUACUGGGUAAACAUCAGUUGGGGCAUGGCCCUUUAUUCUACAUCAAACAUCACAAUAAUUUGAGAGAUGUUACAAAGCAUAUUCUAAAUCUUAUUUAUUGUGGGUGUGACUGUGAACUGAGAGAUGUUAAAUUAGAUUUUUUUUUCCUCCUGUAGAUGAUGUUUGUGUAUUUAUCUGUAAAAUUUCUGAGGUAGAAGUACAGAUAUGAUAAAAUAUUAGAAAUUAUAGGCUUAUGAUACCCCCACUCGCACCUGUGAGUCUUUAAUUGCACUACUUUUCAGAAAUGCAAGAAAUAAAUCUUUUGCACUGAUUAAUGAGUUGCCCUCAACUGUUAAAAGGAUCCUCAUCAUCUUUUCUCUAUAACAGCAUUAUUGGUGAGUAUAAACAAUGUGUUUUGAUCCAGCUCAGCUUUCUUAAUAUAGCAGCAAGUCAGAACAAUAGUUUUUUCAUCACACUAGUGUAAUGAAAUCAGUUUUUCUACUUUUUUUUGUGUGUGGCUUCACGGUAGAUGCUUACGACGUUGUAAUUCUUAACGCUUGUUACGUUACUGGUAUGUAUCUAAGUGAAGUUUGGGAUUUAUUAAAGGCUGUUUGGAUACAUCUUCUGUUUUGAGGCUGGAGAAUAUGCAAGCUUUUUUAUUUAUUUCACUGUAACAUGCCAACACACAAUUUUUAAAGAUAUGUUCUUGUGUUGUAUUUUUAUUUUUUGAAGUAAUAUACCCACUGAGACCCAGCCUCAAGUGACG